rnacentral:rRNA from 1 species
AACGUAUGCUGGCGGCACGCCUAACACAUGCAAGUCGAACGAAGUAUCAAUACUUAGUGGCAGACGGGUGAGUAACAUGUAGGUAUCUGCCCUUUGGCCUGGAAUAACACGAGGAAACUUGUGCUAAUACCGGAUAAGUCUUUACGGAGAAAGCUUUAUGCACCAUUGGAUGAGCCUGCACUUGAUUAGUUUGUUGGUGGGGUAAUGGCCUACCAAGACUGUGAUCAAUAGCUGAUUUGAGAGGAUGAUCAGCCACAUUGGGACUGAGACACGGCCCAAACUCCUACGGGAGGCAGCAGUGGGGAAUCUCGCACAAUGGAGGAAACUCUGAUGCAGCGAUGCCGCGUGAGUGAAGAAGGCCCUUGGGUUGUAAAGCUCUUUCGUCGGGGAAGAAAAUGACUGUACCCGAAUAAGAAGGUCCGGCUAACUUCGUGCCAGCAGCCGCGGUAAUACGAAGGGACCUAGCGUAGUUCGGAAUUACUGGGCUUAAAGAGUUCGUAGGUGGUUGAAAAAGUUAGUGGUGAAAUCCCAGAGCUUAACUCUGGAACUGCCAUUAAAACUUUUCAGCUAGAGUAUGAUAGAGGAAAGCAGAAUUUCUAGUGUAGAGGUGAAAUUCGUAGAUAUUAGAAAGAAUACCAAUUGCGAAGGCAGCUUUCUGGAUCAUUACUGACACUGAGGAACGAAAGCAUGGGUAGCGAAGAGGAUUAGAUACCCUCGUAGUCCAUGCCGUAAACGAUGUGUGUUAGACGUUGGAAAUUUAUUUUCAGUGUCGCAGGGAAACCGAUAAACACACCGCCUGGGGAGUACGACCGCAAGGUUAAAACUCAAAUGAAUUGACGGGGACCCGCACAAGUAGUGGAGCAUGUGGUUUAAUUCGAAGAUACGCGCAGAACCUUACCAACACUUGACAUGUUCGUCGCGACUCUAAGAGAUUAGAGUCUUCGGUUCGGCCGGACGAAACACAGGUGCUGCAUGGCUGUCGUCAGCUCGUGUCGUGAGAUGUUGGGUUAAGUCCCGCAACGAGCGCAACCCUCACUUUUAGUUGCCAUCAUUAAGUUGGGCACUCUGAAAGAACUGCCAGUGAUAAGCUGGAGGAAGGUGGGGAUGACGUCAAGUCCUCAUGGCCCUUACGUGUUGGGCUACACACGUGCUACAAUGGUAUCUACAACAGGAAGCAAGACUGCGAAGUUAAGCAAAUCCCUAAAAGAUACCUCAGUUCGGAUUGCACUCUGCAACUCGAGUGCAUGAAGCUGGAAUUACUAGUAAUCGUGGAUCAGCGUGCCACGGUGAAUGCGUUCCCGGGUCU